CCCAGACUCCUACGGGAGGCAGCAGUGGGGAAUAUUGCACAAUGGGGGGAACCCUGAUGCAGCGACGCCGCGUGGGUGAAGAAGUCAUUAGUGACGUAAAGCCCUAUCAGCAGGGAAGAAAAUGACGGUACCUGACUAAGAAGCCCCGGCUAACUACGUGCCAGCAGCCGCGGUAAUACGUAGGGGGCAAGCGUUAUCCGGAUUUACUGGGUGUAAAGGGAGCGUAGACGGCAAUGCAAGCCAGAUGUGAAAGCCCGGGGCUCAACCCCGGGACUGCAUUUGGAACUGUGUAGCUGGAGUGUCGGAGAGGCAGGCGGAAUUCCUAGUGUAGCGGUGAAAUGCGUAGAUAUUAGGAGGAACACCAGUGGCGAAGGCGGCCUGCUGGACGAUGACUGACGUUGAGGCUCGAAGGCGUGGGGAGCAAACAGGAUUAGAUCCCCCUGUA
rnacentral:rRNA from 1 species